AACACGUAUGCAACCUACCUUAUAUUGGGGGAUAGCCUUUCGAAAGGGAGAUUAAUACCGCAUAAUAUAUUUGAAUGGCAUCAUUUAGAUAUUAAAGAUUUAUUGAUAUAAGAUGGGCAUGCGUCCAAUUAGUUAGUUGGCGGGGUAACGGCUCACCAAGACGAUGAUUGGUAGGGGAACUGAGAGGUCAAUCCCCCACACUGGCACUGAGAUACGGGCCAGACUCCUACGGGAGGCAGCAGUAGGGAAUAUUGGGCAAUGGGCGGAAGCCUGACCCAGCCAUGCCGCGUGCAGGAAGAAGGCGUUAUGCGUUGUAAACUGCUUUUAUAUAGGAAGAAGAAGCCCAUGCGUGGGAAAGUGACGGUACUAUAUGGAUAAGCACCGGCUAACUCCGUGCCAGCAGCCGCGGUAAUACGGAGGGUGCAAGCGUUGUCCGGAUUUAUUGGGUUUAAAGGGUGCGUAGGUGGUUUAUUAAGUCAGUGGUGAAAGACGGUCGCUUAACGAUUGCAGCGCCAUUGAUACUGAUAGACUUGAGUUUUGUUGAGGUAGGCGGAAUUGAUAGUGUAGCGGUGAAAUGCAUAGAUAUUAUCAAG
rnacentral:rRNA from 1 species